GACAGAGGGUGCAAACGUUGCUCGGAAUUACUGGGCGUAAAGCGCGUGUAGGCGGUUUCGCACGUCCGGUGUGAAAGCCCAGGGCUCAACCCUGGAAGUGCACUGGAUACGACGGAGCUGGAGUACUGAAGAGGAGAGCGGAAUUCCCGGUGUAGAGGUGAAAUUCGUAGAUAUCGGGAGGAACACCAGUGGCGAAGGCGGCUCUCUGGGCGAUACUGACGCUG
rnacentral:rRNA from 1 species